CCAAUAGCCACAAGGAGCAGGACGAGGAUGAAGACAGUUGAAAACAUACGUUUGGAUCCCUCCAUCUUGAUUUUUGUGUGUGUACGUGCACGCGUGUGAAACAAAAACACAGACAGAGGGAUGUUGAAUGUUGAUUCAAGAUGCCUUGAUUCAAAGGCUAACCUUCCAACACCUUUUAUAUAGAGUUGUUAUGAAGCAAAUUAAGAGCAUUUCCGUAAAGG
rnacentral:lncRNA from 1 species